rnacentral:rRNA from 1 species
ACGGGAGGCAGCAGUGGGGGAUAUUGCACAAUGGGGGAAACCCUGAUGCAGCGACGCCGCGUGAGUGAAGAAGUAUUUCGGUAUGUAAAGCUCUAUCAGCAGGAAAGAUAAUGACGGUACCUGACUAAGAAGCACCGGCUAAAUACGUGCCAGCAGCCGCGGUAAUACGUAUGGUGCAAGCGUUAUCCGGAUUUACUGGGUGUAAAGGGAGCGUAGGUGGCAUGGCAAGUCUCAAGUGAAAUGCGGGGGCUCAACCCCUGAACUGCUUUGGAAACUGUCAAGCUUGAGUACAGGAGAGGAAAGCGGAAUUCCUAGUGUAGCGGUGAAAUGCGUAGAUAUUAGGAGGAACACCAGUGGCGAAGGCGGCUUUCUGGACUGUAACUGACACUGAGGCACGAAAGCGUGGGGAGCAAACAGGAUUAGAUACCCUGGUA